ACAGACAGACAGAGAUUAGCUGGACAGAUAGACACAGACAGAUGAUGGACGGACGGAUGGAUGGAUGGAUGGAUGGACAGACAGACGACAGACAAACAGAUGACAGAUGAUUGAUGGAUGGACAGAUAGAUGAUGGAUGGAUGGAUGGAUGGAUGGAUGGAUGGACGAAUGGACGGAUAGACAGAUGAUGGAUGGAUGGAUGCACAGAAGGAUGGAAAGACAGAGAUGGUGAUACAGAUAUAUAACUGAAUACAUUAAUAAAUGAGGGAGAAGGGACAAGCCUUCGGUAUGGAAGAAUUCCAAAUAACUUACAUAGAUACUCUGCCCUCAAGGACGGGGAGCCUAACACUGCGCCCCCUGGAUAUGGACCACACACGGUGAUUUCCUCCCAAAGAGCACAGUAUGAAAAGCAGGAGCAGAGGCAGUAAUUUGACAGUGGAGAAACCUGACAAAUACUGCCUCAGUUGGUGGAUCGAGGUCAGCAUUGUUAGUCAUAAGCCAUGCUGGCAGUAGGUGCGUGUCCUUGACAUGAUGUGAUGAAAACGGCACUUCACCUCAGUGAUCUUCCUCCUAAAAAUUCAUAACCCAAGUCUCAUGAGAAAAACAUCAGACAAAUUUCAAUAAUAGGGCAUUCCACAAAAUCCCUCGAGUACCCCUCAAAGCUAUCAAGGUCAUCAAAAAUAAGGAAAGUCUGAGAACUGCCACACCAAGAGGAGCCUAAAGAGAACUGACAACUAAAUGUAAUGGGAUCCUAGAACAGAAAAAGGACAUUAGGUAAAACCUAAGGAAAUCUAAAUAAACUGUGGACUUCAGUU
rnacentral:lncRNA from 10 species